rnacentral:tRNA from 1 species
GGCUCUGUAGUUCAGUGGCUAGAACAGCGGACUGUCUCUCCGAAGGUCGGGAGUUCGAAUCUCCUCAGAGUCGCCA